rnacentral:rRNA from 1 species
ACGGCGAGUGAAGCGGCAACAGCUCAAAUUUGAAAUCUGGCUCUCGGGCCCGAGUUGUAAUUUGUAGAGGAUGCUUUUGAUGCGGUGCCUUCCGAGUUCCCUGGAACGGGACGCCAUAGAGGGUGAGAGCCCCGUCUGGUUGGAUGCCAAAUCUCUGUAAAGCUCCUUCGACGAGUCGAGUAGUUUGGGAAUGCUGCUCUAAAUGGGAGGUAUAUGUCUUCUAAAGCUAAAUACCGGCCAGAGACCGAUAGCGCACAAGUAGAGUGAUCGAAAGAUGAAAAGCACUUUGAAAAGAGAGUUAAAAAGUACGUGAAAUUGUUGAAAGGGAAGCGUUUAUGACCAGACUUGGGCUUGGUUAAUCAUCUGGGGUUCUCCCCAGUGCACUUUUCCAGUCCAGGCCAGCAUCAGUUUUCGCCGGGGGAUAAAGGCUUCGGGAAUGUGGCUCUCUCCGGGGAGUGUUAUAGCCCGUUGCGUAAUACCCUGGCGGGGACUGAGGUUCGCGCAUCUGCAAGGAUGCUGGCGUAAUGGUCAUCAACGACCCGUCUUGAAACACGGACCAAGGAGUCGUCUUCGUAUGCGAGUGUUCGGGUGUCAA